GGCAUAAGCAGGAGUGCCUGGGCAUGGGCUGGGAGUUCUUCUUUCUUGGCCUGUUUUCAGUGCAGGUGAAUUUGGUCAACACAAAGUAAAAACAAACAAACAAAACCAAACCAACUAAUAAACCCCAAACCCUCUAAUCUGUUUAAUUUCCCACAGGUUUUUAACUUAAAACUUUGACUUUUCUGCUCAGUUUUUAUCUGCUGAACUUCUGAAACUCAAUUUAAGCUUUACUAGAGUAAAAUAGUCUUUUCAUGUAACAAACUGCUCACAAAUUUACAAUUACCAAGUGAUCCUUUCCCAGGAGGAUGUAUCUCUGUCUCCACACUGCAUCUUGUAGGUGUCACUGAAGCCCAGUUUGUGUAGGAACUCUUCCUUCUAAAAAUUCACUUUCAGCUUUAGGUGGUUUUUCUUCUGUGCUGCAAAGUGGACAAAAUAACUGGGAGAAUAAAGCAUUUGUCUUGCAGGAUCACACUGAGGGGAGAUGAUCACACUGAGAGGAGACAUGACUUCUGUUCUGUGUGCAAAUACACCUUUUGUUCCCUCAGCAGAGUAAUGAAUAAAAUAAUAAUGCAUUUGAGUUAUUUUUUUCCUCUUUCACAGGUUGGACAAUAGCUUAGGAGUGCUGAUGUUCCACUGUGUGCUAUUAAACAAAACCAUGCAAAUUCUUGAGACUUUUUUUUUUUUUCUUCUUGUGCAGUUUAGGAUCAUUUAGGAGGUUUUAAACUUCCAGGUAGCUCAAGAAAACCAGGACAGACUUACUUCAGAGCCUGUUCAGAGUCUGCUGCUUCACUUCUGGACACACAUUGGGAGCAAGGCUCUGGAAAGAUGAGCACGUAAUUAAGGCAGAGGAAGGAUCACGUGCUGGGUGUUCUGGCAAGGACAGGAACGUGCACGAGGGUGCUCCUCUUCUGUCAAGGCUUUGUUUGAAGAGCAGUCUGAAAACAUCAGUGUAUAUUGGGAUGAAGUACUAGUAAAACAUAUGUUUAUAAAAACUGCUUUUCUCCAAACAUUUUCAAUUAUCUUAUGAAUUACCUGGACAAAAGAGUUUUCCCUCCCAGCCCUGUUUUCAAGCUGUCCCUGCUGAGGAGGGGGUUGUAAGUCACACAUCUGUCUGGCAAGUAUUUUCAUUUCAGUGUU
rnacentral:lncRNA from 1 species